rnacentral:rRNA from 1 species
UACGAAGGGUGCAAGCGUUACUCGGAAUUACUGGGCGUAAAGCGUGCGUAGGUGGUUUGUUAAGUCUGAUGUGAAAGCCCUGGGCUCAACCUGGGAAUUGCAUUGGAUACUGGCAGGCUAGAGUGCGGUAGAGGGUAGUGGAAUUCCCGGUGUAGCAGUGAAAUGCGUAGAUAUCGGAAGGAACACCAGUGGCGAAAGCGGCUUCCUGGUCCAGCACCGACGUUCAGGCACGAAAGCGUGGGGAGCAAACAGG